GCACUUGUUCCUGUGGAAUCGUAUUUAGUUUUCGCCUUCCUCGUCUUCAUCUGGACGGAGCCGUCGUUAUUCUUCAUGCUGACUCUAAAAUAACUUUAAAAGCAGGUCGAUGCGAGGCGAGGCGAGGCGGAAGCCUUUUAUAACCUCAGAAAUUCAGGAUGAAUGAUAAAAAUAACAAUGCCCAGCAAGGAUAUAAUCAAGAUGCUGCCUGACCUGAUGAGUAUUUGCAGCAUGUUCAUGUAAUGUCCUUCUGCUGGCUGGAUAGCACGCAACAAAAGCUUUUCACUGUACCUCGACACACGUGACAAUAAGCUACACUCAACUGGAAAAAAAAAAAGAAUCCUGUACUUAUUCACAUAGAAAAAAGCUAAACUUAAUUGAAA